rnacentral:rRNA from 1 species
CCUACGGGAGGCAGCAGUGAGGAAUAUUGGUCAAUGGGCUUACGCCUGAACCAGCCAAGUCGCGUGAGGGAAGACUGCCCUAUGGGUUGUAAACCUCUUUUGUCAGGGAGCAAUUGGCGCUACGUGUAGCGUUAUCGUGAGUACCUGAAGAAAAAGCAUCGGCUAACUCCGUGCCAGCAGCCGCGGUAAUACGGGGGAUGCGAGCGUUAUCCUGAUUUAUUGUGUUUAAAGGGUGCGUAGGCGGAAUGCCAAGUCAGCGGAAAACUCGCGGGGCUCAACCUCGCUCCGCCGUUGAAACGGGCGUUCUUGAGUGGGCGAGAGGUAUGCGGAAUGCGUGG